AAACUUUUGUGGUUCUCAAGUGUGAUUACUGGAUUUUCAUGCCACUGUGUGAGCUCUUCCUACCUCAAACCUUUCUACAAUGUCAGCACAUUACCUAUCUGAUG
ensembl:snoRNA